GAUGAACGCUGGCGGCGUGCCUAAUACAUGCAAGUCGAGCGAACCACUUCGGUGGUGAGCGGCGAACGGGUGAGUAACACGUAGGUGAUCUGCCCAUCAGACGGGGACAACGAUUGGAAACGAUCGCUAAUACCGGAUAGGACGAAAGUUUAAAGGUGCUUCUGGCACCGCUGAUGGAUGAGCCUGCGGCGCAUUAGCUAGUUGGUAGGGUAAAGGCCUACCAAGGCGACGAUGCGUAGCCGACCUGGGAGGGUGAACGGCCACACUGGGACUGAGACACGGCCCAGACUCCUACGGGAGGCAGCAGUAGGGAAUCUUCGGCAAUGGGCGAAAGCCUGACCGAGCAACGCCGCGUGAAUGAUGAAGGCCUUCGGGUUGUAAAAUUCUUUUGUUUAUGACGAACGUGCGAGUUGUGAAUAAUGACUUGUAAUGACGGUAGUAAACGAAUAAGCCACGGCUAACUACGUGCCAGCCGCCGCGGUAA
rnacentral:rRNA from 1 species